AGACAACACACAAUAUGUUAGCCCUCGGUGCAGUCACAGCUCUCGGGCACCUUGCUAGUUGAAGGUCCGGCCAAAGAGAACGAUAAAAUGGUACGUAAGUACGGAUAACCCGCGAUGGACCAAACCAAAAUAUACAAACUUUUACAAUUAGGUGUAUUUACAAUAUAGAUAUCAAAAAAUGUUUGUACACCGAAAAAUAACAUUAACUAUGCUGCUGUAAUUAAAUAAAGAAAACACAUUGAAUUAUUA